GCCCACAAGCUCCUCGAUUGGCUCUGCCGUUUGUUGUGUGAUUGGCCGUCCCCGCUGUCACUCCAUCUUGCUUGCACACCGGUCUGCUGGAGUUGCCCAGUGAUUGGAUGUCGAUGAUGCUGCGCACACUGAUUGGAUGUGGGAACCGACCGGUGGGGAAAAGGCAGAAGACGGUACAAGCAGUACCUUUACAGCACUGGCGUUGAAGUCCCUGACAGAAUUUUAGAACGUCAUGACAGAGAAGUAAGCUAGCCUAUGAUGAUGAUAAGUAUUUUUUUUAUGCUUAUGAUAUUGUCUAUUGCAUGGAUCACAAGGUGUGAUGAACAUUUCAGCCAAAUUGCUUUGACACACUGCAAAAACUGCUUAUCAAAUAAACAUAAAAAAGCCUUAUUAAUCUUAUAUCAAGAUCAAAAAAG